AGCAAUAUAGGGGGACUUUUAUUUAUUUUUCAAAAUCUUUCAUUUGAUGACAAACAACAUUAUUGUCUCUUGCACUUUUCCACUUCAUAUUAUUAAGUGCUUUCAAAUUAUUUAUUAUGAUUCUCAGUCAAAUCUGUACCAUUUUGGCAGGAAUGAUAUUAGAUAUGAGGUAGCUUCGUUCUUACAUUUUUAUGAUGAUGAAAUCAGACAUGCUAAUUCUUAAUGAAAGUUUAUGGACAAUGAGGCAACAGUUUCAUGAACUUGAUGUAGAUCAAACACUUGGCUCUUCUCACAAGUUACAAUAGAUUAAGACAGCAGCUCUACAGGCGGAGUGGGAAGAAGACUGCAGGCUAUAUAUAGAAAAUUAAUACAAUCGGAUGUUUAUACUGCCUCAAAAGUCAAAACUAGCCAUCUUGAAUACAAUCAUCUUUGGAUGCCUGAAGAAUGAAUAUUUUGAUUCUAUCCAGCAUUCUAUAUCAUACUCUUCCUAAGUUCCAUUACUUUUUGAGCUUCCAAACUUUACCACCAUAAUCUGAUAUAAAAUAAACAAUCAGCAAAAGUGCUAGAAAAUUCAACGAGUUAUAGUUAUCCAACCAAGAUGAUAUAAAGAAAAAAAUUCAAGCAGCUUGAAAUGAGAUGGCCAAGCAAAAAUCCUCAGAAAAAUAUCAGUGAAAUUUUCUCUUGAAAAGCAUCUGGUUAUGCAACCAACAUAAUUUUCCUUUCCACAGUGAACUAAGUUCCACCUAAAGCAUCAGAUGCAAUACUUUAUGAUUUAAAAAUAUGAAUGUUUUUACAGAAGUUUAGAUCCUCAAUUCUGACUCAAUAAUUUUGAGCUUCUCACAAAUUCUAAAAUGCUGCAAGGUAAAACGCAUAAAGCAGAAGCAAUAAUGGGGGGAUUAUACCUUAGAUUGUCUCAAAAGAGUUGCUAGAACCACUAUUCAGUCUUUGAAUUUUACAGAGCACAUAUGGACUAGAAGGAAUUCUGCAUCCAACCGGCUCCACAGUGUACCCAUUUGAAGCUGGAAUAUUAUGAAAGAUAAUUCAGUCAAUGAAGAAAUGCCAAGGUAUAUGAACCAUUAUAUCCCUCGUGGAAUAUAAUAGUAAUGAAAUUACAGAGAGCUGAAAGCUUUAAAAGUGAGAUAUCUCACCAGUGUCUAGUUCAAAGAAAAAUUUAUGUUAAUGUUAUAACUCUCUAUGAAUCCAGUCAAGAGUAAAAAGGAAGUUAUAAAAUACCUAACCAUCUUGACUCAAGUACUUUUUAGAAACUUUUGCGAACAAAAUAUUUACACUAUCAGCUUUGAAACGAAAAAUAAAAAACAUUCCAAGAGAAAACAUCACAUUUUAGACACUGAUUGAACUUGCUGGGUAUCUCAUUGAACUUUCCUUGUGUUAAUUGUGAACUUUUAACAUAUUUAAUUCUUCCUUGAAUCUUCUCAGUCACAUCAAGGAGUGCUUCCAAGGCAUCUUGAAUGAUCAAUUUCAGAACAUGUGUGGCAGAGCGGACAUCAAACAAUUGGCCGAUCCUACAUCUUCAAACCUUAAUGCAUGUAGGUACAUCUAACCUAAGAACUCACUCUGCUUUCAAUUUCAGAAACUGGAUACAUUACAUCUAACGAUUGCCUACAAGUGAGAGGCCAUUUUCAUGUACUAAUGAUCGGAAAUUUUUAAUUCCCCAAAUUCGAUCCUCUACAAUCAAUUUCAGUCUUAAGUGCUGCUUAAAGAUCAAUGUCGAGAUUUUUCCGUGAAAACCUAAUCACUGGUUGGAAAAUUUUGUAACUCACGCUCAGUUAACAGCUCCUAAUUCAAUACAUGAACAGUUGUAAAUUUUUUUUUUUUUUAAAAGAACCUAUAUCUGCCAUGAAAAUUCAAUAGCUAUAGUAUCAAACUCAAGGAGAGUGUUGUCAUAACUUUCUUGAUCGACAUCACAACAGUAACAUAUCAAAGCCAAAAUACAAAUUCCAAAAUCCAAUACUAAAACCCUAACUCUUCCAACAAUUAUGCAUAACAAUAACUCAAGCACUAGGCCAUAGAAAUGAAAAAUUAAGAGACAUUAACUUUUGAAAAUCCAUCAGAAGUCAAAUAAAAAGAUCAUUUGACGGAUUCCUAUACCGUAGUUGCCGAGUUAUCAUCUGUCCAUAGAUCGCUCUAUUGCUGUUUCUUCUGCAAUGACUUCCGCUCGAGUUCCCGCCACUUGUUGAUUGUAGCUGUGCAGAUAAAUCCGACGCCGAAGAAAUAGAGCAAUCGAAGAACCUUUGUGCCAGUGGGGCCCGUCGUCAUCUAUUCUCUGCGGUGUGCGUGUUAAUUAGCCACGUCGUCAUUUUCUUAGGGAUUGCUCG
rnacentral:lncRNA from 1 species